UAGAGUUGCAUCUGGUGCUUACCAACUCCCCUGGGAAGAUGGCUAAGAAAUGCCACAUAAUUGAACACUUAAACUGAUUCCUGUAUACACCACAGUCUUUCAGGUCUUGAAAAUGAGAGAGAAAAACAGCCCUAUUUGCCUAUCGUGCGUUAGAAUGCAGAAAUGAGACAGGACAAAUGCAAAGGAGCCUAGCAUCAACCAACUCAUUCAUUUAUUCAAAAACAUUUCUUUAGCACCUAUUAUGUCCUGAAAAGUUAUAUGAAGAUAAAACAAAG
rnacentral:lncRNA from 10 species